AUUUAUAUAGUUUAAAUAAAACAGUAUAUUUUCAAUAUACAAACAGAAAUUUAAUUUCUUAUAAAUA
rnacentral:tRNA from 1 species